CCCCAUUGAAAAUAUAAGAAACCAUCAAAUUAAUAAUGCUUAUAAGUAUAAACCACUAACCAAAGGUCCAAGACGCAUGUAGAGGUUCUAUUACCUAUCCCAAAAUUAAAAUACUACACUUUAAAGUUAAUAUUAUUACUCCAUUCAGGUUUGCUGGUUUUUCUUUCAUUUCGCAGAUCUACAAGAAGUCGUUUCAUGAAGACAUGGGUGGCUUUGAUCAUGUUCAGGAAUUAAUUUGGUGCAGCUCAUGUGAUUCGCUGUUUACGUUGGCGUGAAUUUGAGGAUCGAUCGAUAAGCGUCUUAGCACACCAUUCAGUUGGAUGUUUUCGUGAAACCGAUCCUGCAGGCUGUAGAGCUCCAUUAUCCCAUGUGACCUAUCGCUAACAUAAGUGUGGGCUGAAGUAUACUUCCAUUCUAAGUACUUCUGGAGUUUACCAUCUUUUGCCAACGAUGUUGUUGCGCGGAAUGGAACCACUGUUCAUUAGUUGGAUUAAAAAACUGGGUUCAAUGUGGUUCACAAAAGUCGCCAAACGAGUUGGAAUGUCAGAAAUGUUUACUGUUGGUGGAUGUCGUAACGAUCUUAGUAAAUCCUGAGGACCCUCGCUCUAACAACAAAGAUAAUUGUAUAAAAUAAUGUUAUGUGGACAGGCACCGGAUGCCCAAUCACCUAAAAAACAGCAUCAGCAAAUCGUCAUUUUCAUAAUUUCACUAACUAAUCUCUCCAAAAUACUACAAAGAGUGAUUAAUGAAUACAUGCUUGAUCUCAUCGAGAUAUGGAGACCACGCAAUAAUAAGGCAUGCAUACAAACAUUUGUCAUUUUCUCAUUGUAUGUAGUUUGUUUAAUUAUUAUUAAAGUCUGGAAAGAAAAAUACUUUAAAAUAAAGUAGGUCAAGUUUAUAUUCACGAAAAGUUCCCCAGAUCUUUGUGAAUAAUUAUAUAUAAUGUUCUGGUACGGUGAGUUUUUUUCCUUAGGAACCCCACUGAUUGGUGUUUGGUUAGACGAGAGCCUUGUUUAAACCCCACUGAACCACGCAGUUUCUCCAGUUUAUACGUUUACCUAUAACCCACUCACCUCGGCGGCUCGUAACCACUUUUUGUAUGUUAUCAUUUUAAAAACAUAUACGAUAUUAUUGUUCUUAUUUUUUGUCAAGAUCUGAAUUGGCGACUAAUUAAUCCGUAUUUUACGCCGGCUUCCGUGGGAAGGAGGCUGAUUAGUGCUCUUUCCGAUUCGUUAAAUUUACCAUAUUUUUGGAUGACAUUUGAGUAAUAUCGACACAGG